UGUUAGAGCUGUACUCUGAUAAAGCAGUGAUGAAUAAUCAGGAGUUUCCAAAUUAACGUUUUAACAGUUCAACAGCCUGCAUACACCGAAUAUCGCACGUUCUCACAGCGAAGUGCUAUUUCAUGGUGGGAUAUAUAAAUGCAGCUAGUGAUGUAAUAGCAUUUGUAACAUGUGCACCGCUAAAGUGAUGAGUGUUUAUAUAUCAGUGUGGUUGAAAUAUAAUAGGACUUUUGUUACAAUGUGAUUUGGUGACAAUUUGCCACAACUGUGAUCAUGCGGCUGAAUCAGCCAUUCACGGAUUAUUUGUUCUUACUUAUCAUUCUACCAGCGUGGAUGACAGAAGAAAGUGUCGGCUACAUAUUGGAUUCUCGACCGCAACAGACAUUUCCGUUUGCGUUUAUCGAACAAAUGUAUCCAACGGGAAAGCAUCUAAAUCCUAAGAAACUAUUUAGACGUAUUGGAAAUAGUUUUGAUCCAGAAUGGAUGUCUGUAACAGAUCCAAGCGAAAAUAAGUUGUUCCAAAACUCGUCUGCCCACGAAUCUCAUCCAAAUGAUUUGUACGCAUAUUCCAUGACACGAGCAAGAGUGUCCGAUAUUUUGCGGGAUAGAUAUAACCUUGGAGUCGAAAUCGAAUCUUUAGACGUGAUUGUGACUUUUUUGCACGACUUUUCCACAUGUCAUGUGAAGUAUAAGUGGGAGGACUUAGGGCAGUUGUUUUGGCCACGUUUUGUUAAAAAAGGCUCCUGUGACUCCUCUGGCCCCUGUUCGUGGCCCCCGGGCAUGAGAUGCCAAAUAGGUCAAGUUAAGACACUCCAGUUCUUAAGGUGGAUUUGCAAAAAGGGUCGACGGAAAAUCGCCGGGCAAAAAGAAAAUAUUAAUUUCACGAGCAAAAGGACAAAUAAAAAAACAAAUCACGUGAGACUUGGUGAUAAAGUAAAAUGUAAGUGGAGAAAAAUUCCGUACGAAAUAAUAACGUCUUGUUUGUGCAAGUGUGAUUAAUUUUUUUAAAAAUUGCUCAGAUGAAAACGCAGACGACGGAAUAAACUCUAUUUCAUUUAUGUUGAUAUUUUUGUUGUUUCGUUUUGCCAUUCUGUGUUGAUACUAAGUAUGUUAUAUAAAUUUGUCAUAUUCAAUAAAACCUGUCAUAAUGUGAAAGUUUUUAAUGUGUGUUACUAUAUAGGUUAGAAUUUUGAAUAAAAAUGUUUAAACAUGU